rnacentral:rRNA from 1 species
UACGUAGGGGGCGAGCGUUGUCCGGAUUUAUUGGGCGUAAAGAGCUAGCGUAGGCGGCUGUUCGAGUCGGGUGUGAAAUCCUGAGGCUUAACCUUGGGUCUGCAUUUCGAUACUGGGCGGCUUGAGUCUGGUAGGGGGAUCUGGAAUUCCUGGUGUAGCGGUGGAAAUGCGCAGAUAUCAGGAGGAACACCGGUGGCGAAGGCGGGAUCCUGGCCAGUACUGACGCUGAGGAGCGAAAGCGUGGGAGCAACAGGAUAGAUGAC